CAUUUCCAAUGGCUGAAGGGUCAAUAACCAAAAGUUAUCGAAAUAGAUUUGAGGUGAUCGUCAAAAUUACUAGAAGAGCCAGCUCAGUGAAGAGCACGGUGAAACUUUCCGGACGGGGGCGACGCAAGUUCAGAAUACCAGCCCAUGCAAGCUUCUCGCAGCGACACACGUGUAGUGCACAGCAAUGCUUCCAGUCAUGCAUGCUCUGUUCUGAGGCUGCUUACACUACCUGAGCACAAGGAUGGGAGGCAGCCAGACCUGGCGGAGACUCCUUUCUCGCGGGUCCUCCACAUCCAGACUGAAGUUUUUCCUCCGCACCCUCACCAAACUUUUAACUUCUUGAAGUAGCCUUUCUGCCGGGAAUAGACAACGGAGUCCAGACCAGGGCAGUGCGGGAGACCAGUCAUGGCCAGAGUGGAAGUAGAGUGAGUUGCACUCUACUCUAGCCGAGUUGCAGUCGGAGCCGGAGCGGAAGCAAAGCGAGCCCAGGCCAGCUUGGGGGGAACAAAUCCUGGAGGUGAUAAUAAAAUGUGA